rnacentral:rRNA from 1 species
AUUGAACGCUGGCGGCAUGCUUUACACAUGCAAGUCGAACGGCAGCGCGGGCUUCGGCCUGGCGGCGAGUGGCGAACGGGUGAGUAAUAUAUCGGAACGUACCCAAGAGUGGGGAUAACGUAGCGAAAGUUACGCUAAUACCGCAUACGAUCUAAGGAUGAAAGCAGGGGAUCGCAAGACCUUGUGCUCCUGGAGCGGCCGAUAUCUGAUUAGCUAGUUGGUGAGGUAAAGGCUCACCAAGGCAACGAUCAGUAGCUGGUCUGAGAGGACGACCAGCCACACUGGGACUGAGACACGGCCCAGACUCCUACGGGAGGCAGCAGUGGGGAAUAUUGGACAAUGGGCGAAAGCCUGAUCCAGCAAUGCCGCGUGAGUGAUGAAGGCCCUAGGGUUGUAAAGCUCUUUUACCAGGGAUGAUAAUGACAGUACCGGGAGAAUAAGACUCCGGCUAACUCCGUGCCAGCAGCCGCGGUAAU